UACGAGUGCCCCGAGCGUUAUCCGGAAUUAUUGGGCGUAAAGGGUGUGUAGGCGGUCAUAUUAGUCUUUUGUUAAAUUCUUCGGCUUAACCGGGGGCAUGCAAAGGAAACGGUAUGACUCGAGGAUGCGAGAGGUGAAUGGAACUCAUGGAGUAGGGGUGAAAUCCGUUGAUAUCAUGGGGAACACCAAAAGCGAAGGCAAUUCACUGGCGCACUCCUGACGCUGAAACACGAAAGCGUAGGUAGCGAAUGGG
rnacentral:rRNA from 1 species